rnacentral:rRNA from 1 species
UACAGAGGUCUCAAGCGUUGUUCGGAUUCAUUGGGCGUAAAGGGUGUGUAGGUGGCGCCGUAAGUCGGGUGUGAAAUUUCGGAGCUUAACUCCGAAACUGCAUUCGAUACUGCGGUGCUUGAGGACUGGAGAGGAGACUGGAAUUCAUGGUGUAGCAGUGAAAUGCGUAGAGAUCAUGAGGAAGACCAGUGGCGAAGGCGGGUCUCUGGGCUGACACUGACGCUCAUGCACGAAAGCGUGGGGAGCAAACAGG